rnacentral:rRNA from 1 species
UACGUAGGGGGCAAGCGUUGUCCGGAAUUAUUGGGCGUAAAGAGCGCGUAGGCGGUCCGAUAAGUCGGCUGUGAAAGUCAGGGGCUCAACCCUUGAAAGCCGGCCGAUACUGUCGGACUAGAGUCCGGAAGAGGCAAGUGGAAUUCCCGGUGUAGCGGUGAAAUGCGCAGAUAUCGGGAGGAACACCGGUGGCGAAGGCGGCCCCCUGGUUGGAUACUGACGCUGAGACGCGAAAGCGUGGGGAGCAAACAGG